rnacentral:lncRNA from 1 species
CUCGGGAAUUUUGCACCUGUUUCAGCUCAGGAAUGUCCUGCACUGGACACUGGGUGAUCCUCCUCAAAACAUUUCUACAUUCUGGUCUUCUCUUGAGCCCAGAUCUGUUCACCACUCUUGAAAGCACCAUCCUGACUCACACUGGUACCACACGUCUCUGUUGGGUACCAUUCACAUCCAUCUGUGAGUUCAAAGAGCAAUUUACUUCCCAUUAAAGCAAAAAGGAGAGACAUCUUCUCUCCCCUUACACCCAUCAGAUCCAUCCCUGCCUUCCACAGAACUCUGCUGGGCAGCACCAGGACGCUGCCACACAAAGCUGCUGCCAAGCCCAUCCAUGGUGACACCCUUGGUCCCACCACUGGUGUGAGCUGUUGGAUGUGCCAGAGCUUCACCCUGAGCCAACCCCAUGUGCCAGCCCAACGUCCCACCGCUCUCCUGCCAAGGAAGGGGGAAAGCUGAUCACAAUUUUGGCUGGAGACAUGUCAGUGCCUGUGCCCCUGCUCAGUACCAGCCCAGGAAAUUGCUUUCUGCUCCUCAGCAUUUGACUGCCAACUUCCUUCUCCUCAUGCUUCCAUAAAUCGCUGGGAAACUGUGCCGUGGAUGAUCCAACAGCUGCUGAAUUUCACCCAGGAGACCACUUACCACUGAGGUGCAGCAAAGUUAUUUUGCAUAUCAAGAUUUUAAAGAAAUUUGGGCCAUUGUGAGAUGAAGAACAUUAUUGAUGUACCAUAUUUACUCCAGAAUCCCUUAUCCACACCUGGAAACAGUACUUAAAAACAGAGCUUAUACUGCAGGAUGAUGUGAAAACCUGGCCUGGUGAGAGGUAAAAUUUUCUUGAUUAUUUCAGGGAGAUGAAGGCUUCAUCCUGCACUAUUUAGGAGCUGUUGAGGCAUGAUGGCUACGUCCAGCUAAUUGGAUGCAUUGCUAUGGGCACUUGAGAAAUGUGAUAGACAGAUGCAUUCAGCUAGAGAGAUAUCCCUUGGUGCAGAGAGCUGAAGUCAAUUAGGGAGUUAAAUUGUGAAAGAUUUGACCUGAUGUCAUUUAUAUCUCGAGUCAUAAUUAACACUUAAAGUUCAACUCUAUAGCAAUCUUCUCCUAAUAACACUUAAAACCUAUAUAGAGCUGAAAGAAUUGCGCAGACAUGAUGAAGGAUGACUUGAGUGCAUGCCUGAAUUUCUGCGUUGGUAAUUAAUCCUCAAAACACCUUUGUGAGGCCUAUGGGGAGAAUCAUUUCUCUCCAGUUUCUCCUUUGAAGAGAAGCAGGGUUUACCCAAAUGGCUCCCCAAAGUCUCUGGCACCUGGAGAUAAGGACAGAAGCUCUUUCAGGUGUUAAACCAGAGAACACUCAGCUCAGCCCAGCUCCCCUCUUUUUGUCUUGCUGAAUUUUUUAAUUUUACCACAAUCUUUAGAAAUAUCGUGGACAAAUUACUUGUCAAAUGGCCUGGGCUUUCCAAUUAAAAUUUGUGCAAAUGCAGGACCUAAAAAUCUGUCACAAACACAGCUUCUGCCUCAAAGGUUUUCAUAUGGAUGAAAUAUGAAUCUCACUGGGGGAAGAAACACUCUCUGAGAGUGAGACCUUGUAAGAUGGGAUUCAGCUGGCUGCAGAUUUUUAUGGUCAAGUUAUAACUGCCCGUAAAGCAGGGGCAAAAUGGAAGUGCUGACAAAACUUUUAAACUACAACAGUGGAAAUGGCGCCGCAAUAAUUUAUAAUCUACAGGCAGCUUUGGAUUUAUUAUCACAAUGACAAAUGCACUGUCAUUGUUAAUAGGAUAUUUCCCAGCAAGGACUUCUUGUUAUGCAAGCCAGGUUCACUAUGUCAUGCAGCAUGAUAGCAAUAAAGUCUACAAGAAUUUGUAAUGAACUUCA